GAUCGGGCUGAAAUUUUGGUAGAGGGAGCGGAUUGAGCUAAAAAUUCUUCAUGAAUCUCUCUUAAACAUGCCUAAGAAACUUACUUAUGUUAUAAAGAAUAAGGUAAAUACCAAUUAUUAAAGCAUUCUUAUUGAUUAGGUUUUUUAAAUUUUCAUUUUAAAAAAAUUGAAUGAAUUUCGCUCUAAAUCAUCCAAAAAUUUAAUAUUUGGCUGGCGUACACGCACGAACGCAAAUGCACGAGGGUCAGUGUAUUGUGUUCUUCAAAUGACGUGAUUUGCAUAAAAUAAAUAAUAUUACUUUCUAUAUGCAUUGAUUAUAACAAUUAAUAAUUUGAAUGAAAUUUAUAUUUAUUUAGAAUGAAAAACCAAUCAAAUCUAAUACUAUUUUUUGAAUCAAUAGCAUAAGUAUUUGAAAAAAAGGAAACUACAUUCAGAUCUAUGACUGAUUCCAUCAGUACGGAAAACAUUAAAACGAGUCAGUCUUGAAGAAGCCGCUGAGUUGAAAAGUUGUCACACAAAUUAUUUCCAAUCUAUUUGAAAAUGAAAAAAAAACUAAAAAAUGGUUACAGUGGAUAAGUAAACUUAUAAAGUUGCAAAAAUCAUCAAGUGAUCGACAAAGAAAUUUGAUAAAGUGUUGGAAAUCGUUAGAUUGGGUAAGUAAAAAAAUGUUUGCCAGAAAAGUAUUAACCAUAUUCGGUAAAUUAAAUUAAAUUUAUUUCUUCUUUUAAGCUAAAAUGGAAUGUCAAACUUUUUAUUAUUUUAUUUAAAUUUAAAAUUCGUCGUAAGAAUUUUUUAUUAUUUAAUAUUUUACUAACGAUUUGUAAUUUUCGAUAUUGUUCAAGUUCAAUCGAUCAUCCUGAUUGCAAGUCAUUGUUGAUUGGAAACGUCCGUGAGCAGAAGCUGGAAAAUUAUCACCAUAUCUGUUUUAUCGAACUACUUUUCUUCAAAAAUUCCAUCUAGGAGAGACCUAAAUAGUAUCAAGGACAAUCAUUGUCUUUUCCAUGGAAUUGGAAAAGUGAUUCGCAGAUAGCAGCAGAACUCAGAGCAAACAGUAAAGGACGUAAAUCUGCAAAACACAACUUAGAAAAGUGAGCGCUGUAAUAAAAGUAGACGAGGAGCACUACCACUGAUCAAAUUUCAUUAUGUCAUCGUUUAUCUUUACGGGGCAAAAGACAAUCAGUCUUUUGAAGUAUCUUAUUUCUUCUGAAACUGGUAAACACAAUUGGGAGAAAGCAGAAGAGCAUACAUCCAAAAGCUGAGAAGAAGACUUCACGAAACUACUAGAAAGUCGUGCAACACCCCAUAGAAAUUAAUGUAAUACAAUUUUAUUGUGAAUACACAUUAUUUAUGUCAAAUAAAUUUAUUUUUGAAAUCAUAGCAAGAGUUUUUUAAAUAUACCCUGGUACUGUUAUAUCUACCCGAGGAUAUUAUUUGAAUUAAUGUGGACGAAUAUCAAAGCAAACAUAUUUGCCAUUGAAUCUAUGGUAAAGAACAUUUAAAUAUACCAAGGAAAUUUUUAAUUUUACCCAUUGUGUAUUUAAAUUAAUGGUAACUCGUAGUUAAAACAAAUAUUUCUACUAUUGAAACUAUGGUAGUGUUACCCAGAAAUUUUUGAUUCUACCCAUGAAAGUGUUUAAAAUCCACUUUAGAAAUAAAGUGCAAAUGUAUUUGAUUUAAAAGACAUGUUUUCUUUUCAAAUACAGUGCCAUUCAAAAUAAAUACAAAUAUAUUUGUUGUGGCUAUGAUUACUGCCUUUCAGAUCAAAUGUAAAAAUAUUUGAAGUAAAAGUCGUCUGUAUUCAAAUCAAAUAAAACAUUAGAAACAAAUGUAUUCUACCAUUGGGGCCAAAAUACCCAUAAUUUCAUUUGAUUUUACCCAGAAAAACAUUAAUACUACCCAUAAAAUUUUUCUCGGUGUAAUUUGGAUUUUUCCAAAAAAUCGUGAUUGAAAAGAAAUUAGAUCAGUAAGCCAUAUGAGUAAGCUUUACGCCUGAAGUCAGUGUAAUAUGAUAUUUAUUUAUUUAUUUUGAAAAAUUGCGCUACUUUACUAAUAUUUUCUGCACGUUUAUUGUUACAGUAGACUCUCGCUAAUUCGGCUGUUUUAAGAUCGAACUACUUUUUAAUUCGGGCAGUAGUUAAAUUUGAAAAAAAGUUUGUUGACAUUUUUCAAGUUUUCUAAUGAAGCAAAUAUUUUUAUUUAUUUAUUUAUUGAAAUACGCUCGAGUUCCUUUACAAUAUACCGCCCCACACGGCAACGAGGAUUCGAGCGGCGUCUGCCUCAAAGCUCAAAUUUGUCAUGUUUUGUCUUAAUCAUGUUAUUUUCUAUUAUUAAGGGGUUUUCGUGAAAUUUAUCAUAAAAAUAUGUAAGUAUAUAAACUUAAUACCAGUAUACAGAAGAACAAAAAAAAUCGUUGCAUUUCAAACAAUUUGAUGCCCGAAUUUCUCUCUAAUUUAGGUGACAUUUUGGUCCCAAAUUCCGGAAAUUGAGAGCCUACUGUAUUUUGUAAAAUCGAAUUAAAUUCGAAUCUUUCAAAGUUCUGUGGGUCUACCCCACUUUCCCCUACAAGAUUAAAUCUGUACGAAACAUAGUUAGGGCCAAAAAUUGCUUACCAUGUAGAUGGCGUACCAAGCAGAUGAGAUUAUCGAAAAUUUUCGAAUCCAAAUAAUCCAAGUGAAAGGUGAGGAUAUUUUGAGCUGGGGGCUACAUUGAUAUACGAAAUGUUUUCAUUUUUUCGCAUAUGUUUAAGGAAGCUGGAUCUUACAAUUAUUUUAUUUAUUUCCAUAAUUAUUUUAUUGAGCUAAUUUCCAUUAAGGACCAGUUUCUUUUAGAAAUUUGAUCGUAUGUCCAAGUAGUCCCACUUCCCCUAAAAUUAAACUGAUCUUUUUAGAAUUGUCCAUGUCGCACAGAAAGCCGUUUUCCUAAAUCUUUGAGAUUGUUUUUUGAUUUUUUAUUUCACGAUUAUUAAAGAUGAAUUAGUACUUUCUCUAAACGCGCUAUCAGAUGACAUUCAAAAUUUUAGAUUUCAGAAUUUAAAAGCUUAAAAGAUUUCCUAUCUACGCUCGAAAUUUAUGUGUACCCAGCAUAAACAGAAGAUGCGUCCCUCUCGCUUGAGAAAAUGAAAUGAUAAUCUGCUAGCAUUAGUAAAUUUUCUCAAGAUACUCCAUCAAAUAGCAAUUUCAUCGACAUUUCUGAUUUCUUUCUAAGAAAGUCAUGUUUGAGGCAAAUUAGUUGUUCUUCAAGUGAUAUAACAUUCUCGAUGCUCCGCUGAUCUCAAUUCCGGAAUACUCUUGGCUAAUGAACAUAAAUACACUGCGGUAGCAAUAAUUAUACUUUCACAGAGAGAAUUGCGUUUGAAAAUCUUUUUUCAGUUUACAAUUUGCUUUUAUUCGUGAUAAAAUAAUGCAGCAUUUUUGAAAUUUAGAUAUAAAUUAUUUAGUAAAAAAUUUUCUUACCUUUUCAAACACAUUGAGUGGCAUUUUUUUCAGCAUCAUUGAUAAGACAUUUCGAUAAUUUUUCUCAAUGAACGUCACGGAGUUAUCAGUGAAAUGGAGUUGGAAGAAUUUUUUGGUUGGAUCAGAGAAGUUGAAAUACAACAAAAGUAUACAAUGCAACAAAUUUAUUAUAAAAAUUACAUGUAAUUU